rnacentral:rRNA from 1 species
AGCAGCCGCGGUAAUUCCAGCUCCAAUAGCGUAUAUUAAAGUUGUUGCAGUUAAAAGGCUCGUAGUUGAAUUUCGGGAUCAAGGAAUCGGUCAUGCCUCGGUAUGUACUGGUUUUAUUGGUUCUCACCUUCUAAAGAACCAUGAUGUCAUUCAUUUGAUGUUAUGGGGAAUUAGGACUGUUACCUUGAAAAAAUUAGAGUGUUUAAAGCAGGCUUACGCUUGAAUACAUUAGCAUGGAAUAAUGAAAUAGGACAUCAGAUUCUAUUUUGUUGGUUUCUAGGAUCGAUGUAAUGAUUAAUAGGGAUAGUUGGGGGCAUUAGUAUUCAAUUGUCAGAGGUGAAAUUCUUGGAUUUAUUGAAGACUAACUACUGCGAAAGCA